AGCGUACACGGUGGAUGCCCUGGCAGUCAGAGGCGAUGAAGGACGUGCUAAUCUGCGAUAAGCGUCGGUAAGGUGAUAUGAACCGUUAUAACCGGCGAUUUCCGAAUGGGGAAACCCAGUGUGUUUCGACACACUAUCAUUAACUGAAUCCAUAGGUUAAUGAGGCGAACCGGGGGAACUGAAACAUCUAAGUACCCCGAGGAAAAGAAAUCAACCGAGAUUCCCCCAGUAGCGGCGAGCGAACGGGGAGCAGCCCAGAGCCUGAAUCAGUGUGUGUGUUAGUGGAAGCGUCUGGAAAGGCGCGCGAUACAGGGUGACAGCCCCGUACACAAAAAUNNNNNNNNUGUGAGCUCGAUGAGUAGGGCGGGACACGUGGUAUCCUGUCUGAAUAUGGGGGGACCAUCCUCCAAGGCUAAAUACUCCUGACUGACCGAUAGUGAACCAGUACCGUGAGGGAAAGGCGAAAAGAACCCCGGCGAGGGGAGUGAAAAAGAACCUGAAACCGUGUACGUACAAGCAGUGGGAGCACGCUUAGGCGUGUGACUGCGUACCUUUUGUAUAAUGGGUCAGCGACUUAUAUUCUGUAGCAAGGUUAACCGAAUAGGGGAGCCGAAGGGAAACCGAGUCUUAACUGGGCGUUAAGUUGCAGGGUAUAGACCCGAAACCCGGUGAUCUAGCCAUGGGCAGGUUGAAGGUUGGGUAACACUAACUGGAGGACCGAACCGACUAAUGUUGAAAAAUUAGCGGAUGACUUGUGGCUGGGGGUGAAAGGCCAAUCAAACCGGGAGAUAGCUGGUUCUCCCCGAAAGCUAUUUAGGUAGCGCCUCGUGAAUUCAUCUCCGGGGGUAGAGCACUGUUUCGGCAAGGGGGUCAUCCCGACUUACCAACCCGAUGCAAACUGCGAAUACCGGAGAAUGUUAUCACGGGAGACACACGGCGGGUGCUAACGUCCGUCGUGAAGAGGGAAACAACCCAGACCGCCAGCUAAGGUCCCAAAGUCAUGGUUAAGUGGGAAACGAUGUGGGAAGGCCCAGACAGCCAGGAUGUUGGCUUAGAAGCAGCCAUCAUUUAAAGAAAGCGUAAUAGCUCACUGGUCGAGUCGGCCUGCGCGGAAGAUGUAACGGGGCUAAACCAUGCACCGAAGCUGCGGCAGCGACGCUUAUGCGUUGUUGGGUAGGGGAGCGUUCUGUAAGCCUGCGAAGGUGUGCUGUGAGGCAUGCUGGAGGUAUCAGAAGUGCGAAUGCUGACAUAAGUAACGAUAAAGCGGGUGAAAAGCCCGCUCGCCGGAAGACCAAGGGUUCCUGUCCAACGUUAAUCGGGGCAGGGUGAGUCGACCCCUAAGGCGAGGCCGAAAGGCGUAGUCGAUGGGAAACAGGUUAAUAUUCCUGUACUUGGUGUUACUGCGAAGGGGGGACGGAGAAGGCUAUGUUGGCCGGGCGACGGUUGUCCCGGUUUAAGCGUGUAGGCUGGUUUUCCAGGCAAAUCCGGAAAAUCAAGGCUGAGGCGUGAUGACGAGGCACUACGGUGCUGAAGCAACAAAUGCCCUGCUUCCAGGAAAAGCCUCUAAGCAUCAGGUAACAUCAAAUCGUACCCCAAACCGACACAGGUGGUCAGGUAGAGAAUACCAAGGCGCUUGAGAGAACUCGGGUGAAGGAACUAGGCAAAAUGGUGCCGUAACUUCGGGAGAAGGCACGCUGAUAUGUAGGUGAAGUCCCUCGCGGAUGGAGCUGAAAUCAGUCGAAGAUACCAGCUGGCUGCAACUGUUUAUUAAAAACACAGCACUGUGCAAACACGAAAGUGGACGUAUACGGUGUGACGCCUGCCCGGUGCCGGAAGGUUAAUUGAUGGGGUUAGCGCAAGCGAAGCUCUUGAUCGAAGCCCCGGUAAACGGCGGCCGUAACUAUAACGGUCCUAAGGUAGCGAAAUUCCUUGUCGGGUAAGUUCCGACCUGCACGAAUGGCGUAAUGAUGGCCAGGCUGUCUCCACCCGAGACUCAGUGAAAUUGAACUCGCUGUGAAGAUGCAGUGUACCCGCGGCAAGACGGAAAGACCCCGUGAACCUUUACUAUAGCUUGACACUGAACAUUGAGCCUUGAUGUGUAGGAUAGGUGGGAGGCUUUGAAGUGUGGACGCCAGUCUGCAUGGAGCCGACCUUGAAAUACCACCCUUUAAUGUUUGAUGUUCUAACGUUGACCCGUAAUCCGGGUUGCGGACAGUGUCUGGUGGGUAGUUUGACUGGGGCGGUCUCCUCCUAAAGAGUAACGGAGGAGCACGAAGGUUGGCUAAUCCUGGUCGGACAUCAGGAGGUUAGUGCAAUGGCAUAAGCCAGCUUGACUGCGAGCGUGACGGCGCGAGCAGGUGCGAAAGCAGGUCAUAGUGAUCCGGUGGUUCUGAAUGGAAGGGCCAUCGCUCAACGGAUAAAAGGUACUCCGGGGAUAACAGGCUGAUACCGCCCAAGAGUUCAUAUCGACGGCGGUGUUUGGCACCUCGAUGUCGGCUCAUCACAUCCUGGGGCUGAAGUAGGUCCCAAGGGUAUGGCUGUUCGCCAUUUAAAGUGGUACGCGAGCUGGGUUUAGAACGUCGUGAGACAGUUCGGUCCCUAUCUGCCGUGGGCGCUGGAGAACUGAGGGGGGCUGCUCCUAGUACGAGAGGACCGGAGUGGACGCAUCACUGGUGUUCGGGUUGUCAUGCCAAUGGCACUGCCCGGUAGCUAAAUGCGGAAGAGAUAAGUGCUGAAAGCAUCUAAGCACGAAACUUGCCCCGAGAUGAGUUCUCCCUGACUCCUUGA
rnacentral:rRNA from 1 species